UAAUUACGGUUUAAAUGCAUAUAAAUUAUGAAUUGAGCUUUAUAUUUUUAUAAUAUAAUAUUAUGAAUUAAUAAUUAUUAUUUAUAGAUUUAAAAAUACUACUACAACGUUUUUCCUUAAAAUUUAAAUAUUACCUCUAUAAGUCUCAAAGGUUAAUAUUCGGAAGAGAAAGCAAUUUAAAUCAAACAUUUUCUAUGAUGGAAAUUAUUCAAUGUCGGAAAAUAUCCUUGAGGGAGAGACGAGCCAGGGAUAGGCUCACGGUGACUGGGACAUCAGAGGAAUCUGAGAAAGAUGAUAUAAAUUAUCUAAAAUUGGUGAUAAAGGAAUCAAUAUCGAUUCUCAAUUCUGGUCAAAAUAGCAAUGAUUUAUCUCCCACAACAGGCUACAUCAGCAGCAUCUGAAGAUCAAUUCUUAAUCUAGUG